CUUGUGUUCAUAAGUGCUUCUCUUUGGGGUUGUCUUAAUUGUGAGUCCCUCAACAGGCAAAUCACUGGACAAAUGCAGUGACUGGACUGUCAAUUUUUAUCAUUGUCCUAUGACUGGCUCUAAGUUUGUCACCAACAUUACCCAAACACAAGCACUGACUUGAGUUCUGAAUGCAGUAAUAGCUACUUGUUGGGGUACUUUUGUUGACAUCUGAAGUCCUGUGUUCCCUUUGAAGAAUGUACCUACACUGCUAUUCUAGAUCAGUUGUUGCUGGGUGAGGAAUGAAGUUUUGUGGCCAUUUUAUUUGAGGACAAUUUAUUGAAGGUAUCGGGAGCAAUACUGUACGAAAAUCAUUCUCAGACCACCUCAAACAGAGUCACUGGUGAUUUUUGUUUUCACAAGUGCUUCUCUUUGGGGUUGUCUUGGUUUUGAGAAGUUCCUUGGGGAAAUGUCUCCACAAAGCUCAUUGAGGGGUCAUGUGUUAUUACUCCUAAACCAAACGAGGGACACAUUUCAACUACUGACUUCAAUGCUAUUUACACAGGAUUUCAACCUGAUGGGAAGGAAUGCCCUUUAGCUUUAGCUCCCCAUGGUCCAGAUUUGGUCAUUAAUAUUACCCUAACACAAACACUAACUGUGCAGUAAGUGCUUUUUGUUGGGGUAAUUUUGCUGACUUCUGCAACCUCAGGUGUGUAUCUUAUUUUGAUACACACAUGAUUUAUUUACUAUUUAUGUCACCAAUGUGCUGAUGGUUAUUGUAUACCUUGUAUUUAAAUUUUUCAAUAAAACAAAAAAAAAAUGUGGUACAGGUGACUCCAGGACCCACAAGAUUGGCCACAUCUUAUGCAUCACUAUUAAUAAAAUAUAUUUAUUAAUAGUGUUAUGUUUUCAUGUCUUAGGUAAAACAGGACAUGAUAUAGUGUGAUAUAGCUGUUUUUUCUCGAAAAACAAGUCGUCUAGAACCUAAAAAAUACACUCUCAUGCCAUCUAAAAUCAUAAAUUAUGGAUUAAUAAUGAAUUUAUUAAUUUAAGAUAGGCUAUUUACAUAUUCUUAACAGAUCUGCAGUUCAAAAUAUGGUAUAGACACUUUUUAUAAGGACUCUCUUGGGCCGGGUCAAAUUUGACCCAGACCAUCCUGUGUAGGCAUUGGAUAUGAACAGUUUGUAAGGGUUAAAAAGUAAAUAAAACUGUUUUUGAUGCAAGAAAGGUGGCGAAGAUGAACUUCAGUGAAUUCAUCACCAAAGCAGGAAAGCCAUUCACUGAAGGGCAGUUUGUGGUGGACUGCAUGUUGAGAAAUGCCGAUAUUUUGUCUAAAAAGGCCUCAUUGUGUCUGUUGUCCUGAAAUGUUUUAAUAACAUCAGAUCAGGGUUUACAGCACUGCCAGUUCAGGGCCUUUUUACAAGAAAAUUAGUCAGCACAUCAUUUAGUGGUGAUGAAUAUGACUUUGCUAAUGAAAACUUUCCAGCUGUUUGCAGACCCUGUUUACUUACACACUGCAAAAAAGGAAUUUCAAGAAAGUAAAAAAGCCUUGUAUCAAGGAAAUAAGUCUUAUUUUUUGUUCAAAAAGAAAAUUAAUCUUGUCAAGCAUGUUUUGCAUUGGAAAAAUAAUCUAAUUUUAAGAAAGUACGGCUAACUUAUUCCAGCUACUUUUGAGCUAGAAUGAACCAGUAACAGGGUAUACAAAUGUUUUACAAUAAAACCCAGUGGAGCAACAAGAUUAUUUGCCUCAUUUUAAGUGUAAGACCACUUGCACAACUUCUCAAUUUAAGAGUGCCAAGAAACUUAAAAUUAAAGGUUGUUUAUUUUCAUUUGUCAUGUGUUCUCAGGCCAUCUGAACCUGGCAGAACCUGCUGCUUCAUAUCUAACAUAUUAAAGGAGUCAUAUUAUGCCCUUUUUCAGGUUCAUAAUUGUAUUUUGUGGCUCUCCUACAAUAGGUUUAGAUGUUUUAAUGUUUAUGUUUAUUUUUCUCAUACUGCCUACAGCUGAGCACCUCUUUUCAGCCUCUGUCUGAAUCGCUAGGUUUUAGCGCCUGUCUCUUUAAGACCCCCCUCCCGAAAAGCCCAGUCUGCUCUGAUAGGACGGCAUUAUGACGCGGAUUAUGCGGCUCACGCGGAUGACGCUCCGGCCCCUCCCCUUCGUUGCCGGCUCCUCACUGCUACUGAGAUUAGCUUCAUUUCUACCGUCAAUAUUAAUUCAAUAACUGCUUCUAAAGCAAAAACUUCACCAGCGGACAUGUUAGAGCGGGAGUCUGACCUGAAAUCACAGAGAAAUGAACAACUUCAACAAUCAGGAUUACAGCUUUCUGUGACGUUUUCCUCAGGUACAGCAGUGAGCAGUGACCUACAAUCUACACAGCCCAGUGAAGUUAAACAUAUUAUAUAUUACAUAAUAUUAACAGCAUUAGUCAAGCAGUUGUUUCUAGUGAAGAAACACCCAGUAAAUGUACCAAAGUAAUCAGAGUAAUAGUAUAAUGAUUACUGUAACCUCCCCUCUGUUAUAUUCUUUAUACACCAUUAGUUUACUGAGACCAUGGAAACAGAAACCUGGAAUACUUUAUCCUGUACAACAUGUCAACAUAACUGAAGCAAUUACUCAUCUAAUAAAGUAAAUUGUUUAUGUGGUUUAAAAACAGCUAAGUAACCAACUGUUAACGGUACUGUAGCCAUAUUUCAUAGUCUGAUAUUUUAACUUAAAAGUAUUAUUACCAAAGUUAACCUUCAGAUAUGUGUAAAAGCUGCAAUUAUGUUUGAACCCCAUUAAAAAUACUGUAUACUGAAUAUUCUAUCAUUUAUAUUAUAUACUGUAUUAUGAUUAUGAAUUUAUCUUCCAAUGUAAUAAAGUUUGAAUGUGAGACAGUAA